rfam:Cavia porcellus supercont2_35 genomic scaffold, whole genome shotgun sequence.
UAGCUCAGUGGCAUAAGCGCCUGCCUUGCAAGCAGGCAGUCGUGAGUUCAAUUCCCGC